rnacentral:rRNA from 1 species
UACAGAGGUCUCAAGCGUUGUUCGGAUUCAUUGGGCGUAAAGGGUGCGUAGGUGGCGCCGUAAGGCGGGUGUGAAAUUUCGGAGCUUAACUCCGAAACUGCAUUCGAUACUGCGGUGCUUGAGGACUGGAGAGGAGACUGGAAUUCAUGGUGUAGCAGUGAAAUGCGUAGAGAUCAUGAGGAAGACCAGUGGCGAAGGCGGGUCUCUGGACAGUUCCUGACACUGAGGCACGAAGGCCAGGGGAGCAAACGGG